CUCGUCGCAUGUGCUAUUCCAAAUAUUCUAUUAUAUUAUUUUUGCAUUUUUCGUCUGUAGGUGGUAGAUUGGUUUUUGGUAAAGCAGCACAUCACUGUUAGAUCAGCUUCAGUUUCUUUUCAGUUCACUUUUAAUGCAGUUAGUAUUAUUAACUCGGUGGUGAGUUUGACGAUAUCAUUGAGUGGCGCUUAAUGCUUCCAGUAGAGAAUAGUGUUUAACACACAAUUGUCUAGAGACAGCAAUAGUGGCUCUGAAGAAGUGAAAAUUCUUUGGGCCUCAAAAAAGUGUGUUGGAAAUUAAAAGCACCACACUUAUCUCAGAUUGGCUGCCAGCUAACUCUAGUACAACUGUCGUCGCAAAUUUGAACUAUACAUAGACUUGCCAUAGAGAAGUUCCAUCAGCCAAUGGGUACAUCAAGUAAAUUGCUCAGAUAUUGCAAGGGUUGAAUCAUCGUGUUCCUACUUGAAAUUUUUAGCCUCAGUAUCCCCUUACCUGAAGUGAAUUUAAUAUAAAGGGAGAUUACAUGGGUUACAAUAAUUGAAACGGAGUUCAAAACCAAUUAUUAGUUCAUUUUCAGUCAGUUUUGGUUUGUUUUUAGUUCAGUUCAGUGCCAGAUUAAUGUUUUAGUUGCGUUCUAGUUUAGGUACAGGUCAGUGUUAGUUCCAUUCCAGUUUUAUUGUGUUUAGUUCAACUCAGUUCCAAUAAUUCUAGUUCAGUUAAAAGUAUUGUGGUGACUUGAACAGUGAGUAGUGCCUCCAGUAAAAAAUAGAGUUUGAGAGAAGUGUCUAUAAACAGCCAUAGUGCCACUGGAGUGUGAAAGUGUGCUAUGGAAUUCUUUCUGAAUCCUUGUGAACCGUGUGAACGACCUGAAAUCAGCGACAGUAGGGGUGGCUGUAUGCGAAUUUGGUGGAUUACACUUAUCGUCUUUGUUAAGUUGAUCUUUUGGGAAACUAAAUGUCACUUUUCUGCAUUUCCUGCAUUUUCAAAAAGAACUUAAGGAAUUUUAUAGAUUCAUUUUGCGAUUGGAAGUUAAGGAAAUAGGAGGGGCAAAUUCAUCCUUAAGGACGUGCCUCACUACCUCGGGCGGGGCGGGGCCCGGGGAUUAUAAGAAAAAGUAGAGGAAUCGAAGAAUUAAUCUGACCAACGGUGUCCUUUUGUUUUUCUAUGAUUUUACUUUAGGAAAAGAAUUGCUCUAUUUUUUCUUGGUAAGUUGCCCAGACAUUGCAAGAAUUGCAAGGGCUGAAACAUGGUAGUCCUUUAUUUCCUAUUUUAAUUUAAAGGAAGACCACGUGCAAGGAGUUGAAAGCCAGUGUUCAUUAAUUUUGAGUGUCAGUUUGUUUUCAUUUCAGUUUCUGUUAAGUUCAGUGUUAGUUUCAUUCCUGUUUUAUUGUGUCUAGUUUUACUCAGUUCCAGUUCAUUUGCAGUCCAGUCAGUGAUAGUUCAGCUUCACUUAAGUUUAGUUUUAAUUCAGCAGACAAUUUAGUGAUGAACAUGAACAGUGAGUUGUACCUUCAAUAGAAACUAGUGUUUAAGAUAAAUGUCUUCUCCCGAAAAACGAAUACAAAGAGAAGUGAAAAGUGCUUUGUGUCUUAGAAAAUGUCUGCGAAAUUAGAAGAACCAGUUUUUAUCGUUUGCCUAGUUUGUAUGCCAGCUAACCCUCGGUAGUAGAACUGUCAUCGCAAAUUUUUGAACUACACAUCGAUCGCUAUAAAGAAGUUCCAUCAGGCAAUGCUUUAGGAACGAAUCGUUUGAACCUCUGUAACCCUCUUCUUGAAGUUAAUUUAUUUUAAAGGAAGGACACGACAAUUGAAGAGGAGUUCGCAACCAGUAUUAAUUAAUUUUUAGUCAGUUUUAAUUUAUUUUCAGUUUAGUUCAGUUUUAGUGUCUGUUCAAAUUCAGUUUUGGUUCAGUUAACAAUGCAGUGGAGAGUUUUACGUAAACAGUGAACGAUGCUUAAAGGUGCCUCCAGUAAAAAAUAGUGUUAGUCUAUAAACGGUGUUUAUAGUGUCUAUAAACGGAACCAAGAAAAGAAGACAAAGAGAAGUUAAAUGUGCCUUGGACCUCGAGAAGUGUGCUAAAUUAGAAGAACCAGUUUAUAGCUUGCUCAGCUUGAAUGCCAUCUAACUCUAGAUAGUAUAAGUGUCGUCAUAAAUUGGGACUACAAAAUGUGUUUUUGGUCAUGAACUUGACACAUCACUGUUCUGCUAUGCAGUUCCUGUAAUGGAAUCGUUGGCAGCAGUGGCAUUGACCUGCUUUUGCCUCAUUUUCUCGGUUUCUCACUUUUGACCAUCAGGCUGUAGACGAUGUUCACCUUCCAGACCUUCUUCACCUAGUCUAGUGAAGCCUUCAGGAGCACCAACGGGAGUUGUUUCUUCCUGGUGUGCAUUCAAUGGGAUUGAAAAAUUGAGUGUGAAUUCUUUCUGAAUCCAUGAACCAUGUGAACGACCUGAAAUCAGCAACAGUAGAUGGCUGUUUGGGAAUUUGGUGGAUAACGCUCUUCGCCUUUGUUAAAUUGAUCUUUUGGGAAACCAAAUGUCAUUUUUCUGCAUUUCCUGCAUUUUCUGGAAGAACUUUAGAAUUUUAUAGAUUUGUUUUGCAAUUGAAGUUGAAGAAAUAGGAGAGGCAAAUUCAUCCUUAAGGACGUGCCUCACUACCCCUGGCGGGGCGGGGCCCGGGGAUUAAAAGAAAAGACAUUGCAAGAAUUGCAAGGGUUGAAACGUGGUAUCUCUAUUUAGACCUUUUAAGCUCUGAUAGCUCUUCACUUGCAAGACCACUUGGAUGACAGUUGAAGAAGAGUUGAAAGCCAGUGUUGAUUAAUUUUGAUUGUCAGUUUAUUUUCAGUUUAGUUUUUGUUGUUAAGUUCAGUGUUAGUUUUAUUUCUAUUUUAUUGUGUUUAGUUUUACUCAGUUACAGUUCAGUGUCAGUGUUAGUUCAAGUUUUGGUUAAGUUCAGUUUUAAUUCAGUUAACAAUACAGUGGUGACAUGAACAGUGAGUUGUAUCUCCAGUAGAAAAUAGUGUUUUCAAAUGGAACUGAGAAAAGAAGACAAAGAGAAGUGAAAAGUGCUUUGGGCCUCAAAAAAAAAAUCUGCGAAAUUUGAAGAAUCAGUUUAUUGCCUGCCCAGUCUGCCCAGGAACAGUUUGUUUGAACCUCUAAAACUCUUUAUUGGAACUCAAUUUAUAUUAAAGGAAGAACACGUGGAUGACAGUUGAAGAGGAGUUGAAAACCAAUUUUCAGUCAGUUCCUGUUUAUUUUAAGUUCAUUUCAUUUUUAGUUCAGUGUCUGUUCAAAUUCACUUAUAGUUUAGUUAACAAUACAGUGGUGAGUUUUGACGUAAACAGUGAAUAGUGCUUAGAUGUGUCUUCAGUAGAAAAUAGUGUUAGAAUAGUGUUAGAAAGGUGUUAGAAAAUAGUGUCUAUAAACAAAACUAAGAAAAGAAGACAAAGAGAAGGGAAAAGUGUUUUUGACAUCGAAAAGUGUGCUAAAUUAGAAGAACCAGUUUAUGCUUACUCAGCUUGAAUUUCAUCUAACUCUAGAUAGUACAACCCUUGUCACAAAUUGGGUCUACGCCAUAAAGAAAUUCCAUCAGGAACAAAUCAUCUGAAAGUAUGUAUUCUGCCAUAUUGUCACCAACCCAUUUGCUGUGCGCGCCUGCAGUCGUAUAACUACUGUUCCGGAGAAAAGUUUAUAGUGACUACUUACUCUUCUUGUUGCCCUUUUACUAAGACAACUAAGAGAUGGCCCUUUCCUGAGCAUUUAUCAAGUGAUUUGAUGAUAAAUAUUAGUUUGCGACGGCUCUUCAAAAACAAUUCAACGCUUUGUGUCAAAGAGAUCGUCUAUCAACAUAGUGGCAACAAGGAUAUAUUGCAAAUGAAUGAAACUUUCUGCUUUAAUGGAAUUUUUAGUCAAGGUAAUGCAUUCGUAUUGUUCAGUUUAACGGUGAAGUUGCAAGUUUUCGACGACAUAUUGAACUGAGAAAUCUCAAUAGCACCUUACAUGGAAACUCUGGAAAUACAAAUCUACAACAAAGCGUUUUACUAUCGCUUUAGAACUUGCGGUUAAAUUAAUGACAAAUAUUUUUGUUGAGACUUCAGCAAAAUUUAUACUUCUGCCAUCGAUUGGAUUAUUUGAAACUAUGCUCAAGUAAUGGAAACAGUCUGACUCUAAAACCAUUACAAGAAAUACAGUACCGUUAAAAGAUCACAGCUCGAAAACUUUUACUCGACCAUUGGAUUUACCUGAGAAUUUGUCUCAAAUGGAAUAACAACAAAUAUCGCAAUAAAGAAAUUAGAUCAAACAAUGCAAACAUUGUUUUAUCGUCUGAAAGCUCUUGUUAUACCAUAUAGUCAACAGUCGAUCUGCCGCUUUGUCAUUUAACCCGUCAAUAAUGAGAUGUUCCUUUACGGAGCCUCUAACAAGUGGAUUGCUGAUAAAUAUUUAGUUGCGACAGACAGCUCUACAACAAUUCAACGAUUUGUUCAUACUUUGAAACAUUUUUAUCAAAGAUAUCAUCUGUCAACAUACAGGUGUGAUUGAGGCACUCUGCCCAGAGAGAUUAUGAAUGAACUUUAUGCAGCCAUGGGAUCUCCGAUCAAAUAUAUUCAGUGGAUAUUUAACCACAUACAACAUUCUAAAGGGCAAUGUAUACGUACUGUUUGAAGUUUUCAAAAUCAUACACAUACAAGAUACAAGAAGCAAGACAUACGAGUAACACCUUACAUACCUCACAUUUUAUUAUCGCUUUAGACCCGACUAGACAGUAGCAAAAUUUAUGGUCCUUCAAAUAUCAUCGGUUGGUUCAUUCCAAAAAGUGCCUAAGUAAUGGAAAGUCUUUAGCGAAAACAUUGCAAGAAAGACAGUACCGUUAAAAGGCUUCAGUCCAAAAAUUUCGACUUGAAUACUGGAUUUGCCUGAAAACUCGUCUCAAAUGAAAUGUCACGAUUUCCGUUUAGACAUGUAGAUUAACUACAGCUUGCAGUGUGAUAAAGGUUUACUUAAGAAUAAAACGUACAGCAGAUUGGAUAAACAGUCAAUUUGUGAUCGACUGUUCAAACCAGCAGACCAUUUCAUAUCAUUUUUGAAUGCUGGUUAUGUUUGCAAGUAAUCUGCUCAACUUUUUAACCUUGCUUCAACGAUCUUCGAGGGAGAACUUCAAAAUAGAACAUAAUUACAAAUUGUUUAUAUAAAGUUGCCAAGUUUGUAACGAUUUUGUAAUAUGUAAAAUUAAUCAAGUUUUUUUGGGUUUUAAAUUUAUAUUACCUAUGUUUUUAAUGAGAUUAUCAAUUUUUUGUUUUAAUUUUAUUUUGUUCAAGAAUCUCUAUUUUCCAAAUUUGACAUCAUUAUUAAUUUUCUAUUCACAUUGAAAACAUAGUCAAUUUUAAAUAACAUUUGUUAGAUUAAGGUGGGCGAAUGUGAAGCAGAUUUACUGUUGUGAUUUCUCUGUUUUACCAGCACAGAAAUAACAGUAAAUCUGUUUACAAUCAGUUGUGCAGAAUUCUUACUUGUUUGAAAAAAAUAGAAAAAAAAGAUUAUAAAAUACAAAAGUAAAAGAACAAAUAAAAACGAAA